rnacentral:rRNA from 1 species
UACGAAGGGGGCUAGCGUUGUUCGGAAUUACUGGGCGUAAAGCGCGUGUAGGCGGGCCGUUAAGUCGGGGGUGAAAGCCCAGAGCUCAACUCUGGAACUGCCCUCGAUACUGGCGGCCUGGAGCAUGAUAGAGGCGAGUGGAAUUGCGAGUGUAGAGGUGAAAUUCGUAGAUAUUCGCAGGAACACCAGUGGCGAAGGCGACUCGCUGGAUCAUUGCUGACGCUGAGACGCGAAAGCGUGGGGAGCAAACAGG